CAGGUCGGUCGGGCGAUCGCUGGACGAUCAAGCUGAUGCAAGAUUGGUUCAGAGGAAAGUCCGCACUCCGUAGAGCGCGCUGCCGGGUAACACCCGGGGCGGGGGCUGGCUGCCAAUCCACGGAUUGGCGGGCGGUUACCUGCCGGAUCGGGCCACAGAGACACAGCGCCGGCGCAGCCGGCAAGGGUGAAAAGGUGGUGUAAGAGACCACCGGCGCGCCUGGCAACAGGCGCGGCCAGGCAACCCCCAGCGGGAGCAAAGCCAAGCAGGGACAAACGGGCGCAAGCCCGGGGAGGCGGCUCGUCUCCCUCGCGCUCUUUACCGAGCGCCAGAGUCCCGGGUAGGCUGCACGAGCGGCGCGGAGACGCGCCGCCCAGAUAGAUGAUCGCCGGGGCAGGGCGACCUGCCUUACAGAAUGCGGCUUACAGACCGGCCUGGACA
rnacentral:RNase_P_RNA from 1 species